CACACACACUGAUUUAGACAAUGAAAACGACUCAAAUUGCCCAGUACGCCCUUCGACUCACCUAUUCGCAGCCAGCGAACCGUGAGAAGAUGAUGUCUAGAUCCGCGCUCGCCCUGGCUGCCUUCGGUCUAGGUCUGUCCACCUUCAGCGUGCGUCAGAUGGUUCUGAACCAGACCCGGCGAUUCUAAGCUUAAUGCCAACACGCAGAAACAAAACGCCAAAAGGUUAACAAGAUUUACGAUGGCAACAUUGAAACGUGUGCGUUCAAGCGCGCUCGAAUAGUAUUAAUUCUCGCCUAUCUUUUUAAAAAUGGCUGCGUGAGGUUGCGUUCGAGUUAACCUUUUUAUUUAAGUCGAAUGAUUGUUUGAAAAAAAAAGUAAAUGUAAUGAUAAUGGAUAAAAAAUGUAAUUUAUUUUUUUAAUUGUUUUUUGUGCAAUUGAAUGUCUGCUCAGCCGUUAGAUUAUUUUAAAUUAAAUGUAGGAUGGAAUUGUUUA